UAGGGAAUCUUCGGCAAUGGACGAAAGUCUGACCGAGCAACGCCGCGUGAGUGAAGAAGGUUUUCGGAUCGUAAAACUCUGUUGUUAGAGAAGAACAAGGACGUUAGUAACUGAACGUCCCCUGACGGUAUCUAACCAGAAAGCCACGGCUAACUACGUGCCAGCAGCCGCGGUAAUACGUAGGUGGCAAGCGUUGUCCGGAUUUAUUGGGCGUAAAGCGAGCGCAGGCGGUUUCUUAAGUCUGAUGUGAAAGCCCCCGGCUCAACCGGGGAGGGUCAUUGGAAACUGGGAGACUUGAGUGAAGAAGAGGAGAGUGGAAUUCCAUGUGUAGCGGUGAAAUGCGUAGAUAUAUGGAGGAACACCAGUGGCGAAGGCGGAACUCUGGUCUGUAACUGACGCUGAGGCUAGAAAGCGUGGGGAGCAAACAGG
rnacentral:rRNA from 1 species